rnacentral:miRNA from 10 species
AAUAUUUUAUAGCAUUAGGUUGGUGCAAAAGUAAUUGCUGUUUUUGCCCCUAAAAGUAAUGGCACAAACUGCAAUGGCUUUUGUACCAACCUAAUAAUAUUUU